rnacentral:rRNA from 1 species
GGAUCAAAGGAUCGGUCAUGCCUUGGUAUGUACUGGUUUUAUUGGUUCUCACCUUCUAAAGAACCAUGAUGUCAUUCAUUUGAUGUUAUGGGGAAUUAGGACUGUUACCUUGAAAAAUUAGAGUGUUUAAAGCAAGCUUACGCUUGAAUACAUUAGCAUGGAAUAAUGAAAUAGGACAUCAGAUUCUAUUUUGUUGGUUUCUAGGAUCGAUGUAAUGAUUAAUAG